UGUGCACCCCACACCUGGGGCCUAAUUAUACUGUUGCUAAGGUGAUAGUUGUGGUGUUUGAUGCCAGAGAUGUUCACCUAAAACAGGGCCAUUUCUAUUUCUGUCUGUUCUCUCUCUCUCUCUCUCUCUAUUCUCUCUCUCUCUCUCUAUUAUCUCCUGUCUCUCUAAUCUUGUGUUUUUCUGUCUGCUUUGACCCGGUCUCCUCUCACUUUUUUUUUCUCUGCUCUUGCUCUCUAGCUUUUCCCUCUCUCCUGCUCUUACCCUUUUCUCUCUCCUUUACCGACUUAUUCUCGCUGUUUAUAGGGAGUAUCUAUAAAUGUAACUGAUUAUGCAGUAGCUCAUGUCUCUGUGUGUGUCUCCAGGGCCAAUGGAGUCUCAUUAAGUAGGUGUCAAUAACUGGGGAAAUUAUUCCCAGUAUGCAGAGUACGGUCUGUUUGUGCCACAUGGCCAGAUACGCUUGUUGGCAUGUCCCCCUUUACCAGGCAUGUUUUUUUGGUUUGUACAGAUGGGCUUGUUGGCACUACCAGCUUGACCAUAGUACUACAGAUAACAGACUACUACUAAGAGGCUAGAACUGUCUAGAGAGAGAGAGAGAGAGAGAAAAAAAAAAACUGAUUGACCAACUUCAACAGACCGUCAAGAACCCAGGAAAUGACCAGCUCAACCCACCUUAUGGUCUAAACUGGUUUGGGCAUAAUUUUUUUAACAUGGACUUUUCUGGAGAUUUGCCACAUUUGCAAAAAGAGCAAAACAAAUGUGUGUCUUUUUCUACGUUCUUUAAACAGGGCAGUUAUAUUCUGACUCCAGCGUCGUCGUGAGAGCUCUUCCCACCCCCUCUCUCCGCAGGCUGCCGCCUCCUCACACCCCAGGCACCUGCUCACGGCACGCCGGCCUCGUGAGCGUCACUAGCUCCCACGCCCCCUCACCACACCGACGCGGCCCGGCGGAUCCGCGGCGGAACUUUUAUCCCGUUUUUAUUUAUUCCAUUUUUAUUUAUCUGCUUACUUGUUUAUUUAUUUUCCAUUCUCUCCUCAAGAGCAGUGCGGCCCCGGCUGUUGCCAUGGCAACAGUGGCUGAGCGGCGAGCAACCCUGAGUGUGAAGUAAUUUAUCAUUUUAAUGGGGAAUGUGUGUGUGUGUGUGUGUGUGUGUGUGUGUGCGCGUGUGUGUGUGACUGCAAGUGGGAGAGAGAGAGAGAGAGAAAGCCACAAGCACCGUCAUCUGGCUCAGGCCUCUCUGCUGUUCUGAAUGACUGUCGCAAUUCGUCUUUUAAUAUUAGAGAUGCUGCACUUAUCCACCUGUUUUAUCUACCUGGUGUUGCAGGCGACCCGCUGGAGCCCUGAAGUGGCCCGCUGAGGGCAGCGCUAUGAAAAGCCUGUUUUGUGCUGCUAUUUGGAAUGAAAUAGGUGAAGAGCUGCUGCUAUUUGGAAUGAAAUAGGUGAAGAGCUGCUGCUAUUUGGAAUGAAAUAGGUGAAGAGCUGCUGCUAUUUGGAAUGAAAUAGGUGAAGAGCUGCUGCUAUUUGGAAUGAAAUAGGUGAACUGGUCCUUUUUCACAUCUGCUUUGAGCACAGCUCACUGACAUUAUAGAGGGUUUGCUUCCCUCUUUGACUCUGUUCCUGAUGGGUUAGAAACAGCAAAUCAUAUGCUCUCAGAUGAUAGGUCUCUUUAAACUUGAAACUUUCCAAGCCUUAGUGGGGUGUCAGAGGAGCCAAUCCAAAGAUUAGCGUUAUUAAUUUAGUCUUAAUCAGAAAGGCAAUUAACCAGGCCUCACCAGGGGCUUUUACACUGAAACGUCGGUGACCUCUUUCCUGAAAUGCAUUCAGUCGGUUUGUCACUCUGAUUUGUCUCUCUCUUUCUCUGUGAAGUGGAGGAUCUGUCUCUCUCUCAUUCUCUGUGCGGUGGAGGAUCUGUCUGUCUCUCUUUCUCUGUGAAGUGGAGGAUCUGUCUCUCUCUUUCUCUGUGAAGUGGAGGAUCUGUGUAUCUCUCUUUCUUGGUGCAGUGGAGGAUCCGUCUGUCUGUCUUUCUCUCAGUGCAGUGGAAGAACGGUCUCUCUUUCUCUGUGAAGUGGAGGGUCUGUCUGUCGCUCAGUGAAGUGGAGGAUCUGUCUUUCUCUGUGAAGUGGAAGGUCUGUCUGUCGCUCAGUGAAGUGGAGGAUCUGUCUUUCUCUGUGAAGUGGAAGGUCUGUCUGUCGCUCAGUGAAGUGGAGGAUCUGUCUGUCUCUCAGUGAAGUGGAGGGUCUGUCUGUCGCUCAGUGAAGUGGAGGAUCUGUCUGUCGCUCAGUGAAGUGGAGGAUCUGUCUGUCUCUCAGUGAAGUGGAGGGUCUGUCUGUCGCUCAGUGAAGUGGAGGAUCUGUCUGUCUCUCUGUGAAGCCUAGAGAGAGGCGCAGGGAAACCUGCUGGUGAUUGAUGGCUGUGAUCAGCAGGUGAUUGAUGGCUGUGAUCAACAGGUGAUUAUCAACAAUGUGUGGAGGAACACUAAUGCUACCAACUCUUUUAAAAGCACACAGGACUCUUUCUUAUAGAUGUAACAAAACCAAGUUCAACAUGUACCCAGGACUCCCUGACUGGUAUACUGACAUGCAAGUGAUAGUAUUAAUGCACAGGCAGUGGGAGUGAAAUCCAACACACUGUUUAUUCCACCCAUCCAUCACAUAACGUAGUGAGCAGCUUAGCUGAUUCUGACGCGCAAGUCCGUCAAACCGCACCUCACAAUGAAGGUGAAGGCCACUUUCAUCAGAAUCAAAUAACCUUGGGAUGAGGUUGCAUUGCUCUGACUCUCUCUCACCUUGGAAUACACUGUUCAUUUUCCUCUUUGGAGAGCUAGGUUCAGGGUUCAGCGCUAAGUGAAGCUAAUACUGCGCUAAGGGAGGCUAAUUCUGCGCUAAGCGAUGCUAAUAAUGCGCUAAGCGAGGCUAAUACUGCGCUAAGCGAUGCUAAUACUGCGCUAAGCGAUGCUAGUACUGCGCUAAGGGAGGCUAAUACUGCGCUAAGGGAGCCUAAUACUGCGCUAAGCGUGGCUAAUACUGCGCUAAGGGAGGGCAUCUCUGUGGCGUGUUGCUCAUGCGGUCUCUUCCUGGUCUCUUCCUCUCCUAUCCUCUGCUCUGGUGCCAGUGUGGCCCUGAUUAAAGUUUCAAGAGCCUUAAUUGAGCUCCUAGACCCUUUUGAUCCUCAGCUGAAGGAGUGUUUAAGGUCACCUGACACACACACACACACACACACACACACACACUGAAAGCCCUUGUACAAAACACACAUCUCAAACUGUUCAAACUUUACACAGGGCUAAUGCGAAUGUUCAUGGGAAAAGGUCAGAUUGGACUAGAUAGAUACACAGAUAGAUAGAUAGAUGGAUAGAUAGAUACACGGAAAGAUAGUUGACCCAGGGGGAACAUAAAUCGUCGUAGCAGCCACAUACAUUCAAAUAAAAAUGUCAACAGAUACAUGGACAUAGUAUCUAAGAUGAACAAGCAGAGAGACUAAUGAAUGGAUUAGUGGGUAUAGUGACUGAUAGUCUGCUUAGAAAUAUGGUAAAAGGUACAGAUAAAGGCAUGAAGCGCUGAAGAUGAAUAACGUCCAGACAAUAUUGUGGUGCGCAAAGAGUGAAGUGAUUAGAGUAGUACAUUUAAAGGGUUAGUCCCAGUUUAAAGGGUUAGUCCCAGUUUAAAAGCAGCCUUCGCCACAGCACACCACAGCAUAGAAGAUGGCGCUCACAACAACAGGCUGAUGGAAUAUGUGGAACAUGUGGUCCAGAGGCUCUCAGGAUGUAAGGCUAGCUCAGGCCCUCCUUGUUGACGGCCGUUAUUGUGUGAGAGGUUAGUGCUGGCGGCCCUUCUUGGGUGCCGGCACCAGGUGUGAUACCAGGUGUUCCUUAGCACAAGUGGUGAGUAGCAUCGUCCCGACACCUACUUUACCAUAUAAUUUAACACUCUCCCGGUUCUCUGCUGUGAUUUAUGGUAGAACCGCAGGGGUGAAAAAGCCUUGGGCCCGAUAGCAGCCGUAUCCAAUGCAGCUUCUGACAGACACACAGCUCAUGAGAGGAGUACGAGAAGGGUUCCUCCAUUUGGAACCAGGUUCCCACCAGAUUAGAACCUUUGGUCAUUUUAUACAUUACACAGCCCUUGUUACAGUAUAGUAUAGUGUUGAGUAAAAUAUAGUCACAAAGAACUGAUCAUUCUAUUUAUAUUAGAGAUGGGAUACGAAUAGGGUUAAUCUUGUGUAAGAACAAAAGUAUCAAGUACUACACUGUUAAUUGCUGUGUUACAUUGUAGUUACAUUGAAGUAACAUUAUAGCAUGGGCUCUGUAAAAUGAACCGUAACAGAACUGAAUUGAAUUGUUCAUUUAGAUUUGUUUUUCAUUUGGUUAUAAACAUUAACCGUGGCUCUGCUAGUCCCUAUGUUCUUUUGUAGCCAGAUUCCAGCUUCUCUCCAGUCCUCUACUCCUACUCUAUAAGCUUCACAGCGCCUCCCUCUGAAGCCCCAGAAGCUCCUCUUCUCUCGCAAUCUGCAGCCGGAGAGAUAACCAGACUGCCCUGAAAUAAAAGAAGAGAGAGAGAGGAGAGAUAAGGAGUGCGAGGGAGAGAGAAAGUGAGUGAAAGUGAAAGACAGAGAGAAAGUGAACCGGAGACGAGACAUACUAGAAGAGUAGUCAGAAUGUGUGUUUAAAAGAGGGGAGAAGAGGCAGAUUAAGGAAAUAAAAUGAAGUGCAUUUAGACAGAAAGAAAAGGAGGAAAGAAACUUUUCCUGAACCUCUUUUCAAAGAGCAGAAGACAGACUGUCAGCAGUAAGUGAAAGAAAGUAGAGAGAAGGUGUGUAUGAAACAGACAGUGAGAUAAAGAGUGUGUGUGUGUGUGUGUGUGAAAGAGGGGGGUGGGGGGUGGUCGAGAGAGAGGCUUAUUCCCCGUUUUGAGGCACCCCCUAGGAUGACCGUUCCUGUGAUGUGUUGCCACGGUGAGCUGAGCUGAGAGGAACUUCCUGGUAGAGCCGGAAUGUUUACGCUGUGGGUGGAUUGCCCUCGGUUACCGCCUCUCCCAUUCUGCUCUAAUCUUUUCUCCAGCUGCUCCUGCUCUGGCAGCUGCAGCCAAAUCAAAGCCUCAACUCUGUAGCUCCAGCCUGAUACAUACACACAUGCACACACACACGCACACACACAAACACACACAACACACGUGCACACACACACACGCGCGCGCACAUAUGUACACACAUAAACACACACAACACACACACACACACACGCACACACACACACGCACACACACACACACACAUGCACACGCGCAAACACACACACAUGCACACACUCCUAGCACAGGGGCUGUGUGCUGGCUUCGUCUCCAUGAUGAAGAGGGCAAAUGCAGAAUGAUGUUGGGUAUCGUCUGAUGGAGCUCUCAGGGGCUGCAGACUGCUGAUGCAGCUGAAAUUCCACUGGCCUUGACAGAUCCGCACACACACAUGCACACACACACACACACACACACACACACACACACACACACACACACACACACGGAAAGACAACAAUAAUGUUCCUUCUUAUGAUUGGCUAAGCUGGAAACACACACCUUAACAGAUCCGCACACACUCACACCCCUGCAUCUCCUCCAUUACAUUUCCUGGCCUGUGACAUGUGCCUCAGGCAACAUGGAUUCUUUGGUCUGUGUGUCAACUGAUCUUUAAUGUAAAAUAGAUAAAUAAAAUCCCCUCUGAUUUCCUUCUCGAUUUGUAGUGUACAGUGAAGGCAGGAAAUCAGUGUGUGUGUAUUUUUGUAGUGUACAGUGAAGGCAGGAAACCAGUGUGUGUGUGUGUUUGUAGUGUACAUUGAAGGCAGGAAAUCAGUGUGUGUGUGUGUGUGUUUGUAGUGUUCAGUCAAGGCAAGAAAUCAGUGUGUGUGUGUGUGUGUGUCUCAGUGUUGUGCAUGAACGUGUUCAAAAGAACGCGUUCAUUGAACACGUUCAUUUUUAUGAGAACGAUGAACUGAACGCAACUUCAUGACAAAUAAUGAAUUUGAACGGUG
ensembl:lncRNA